UACGUAGGGUGCGAGCGUUAAUCGGAAUUACUGGGCGUAAAGCGUGCGCAGGCGGUUCGUGAUGUCUGGUGUGAAAGCCCCGGGCUUAACCUGGGAAUGGCAUUUGGGACUGCAAGGCUUGAGUGCGGCAGAGGAGACUGGAAUUCCUGGUGUAGCAGUGAAAUGCGUAGAUAUCAGGAGGAAUACCGAUGGCGAAGGCAGGUCUCUGGGCUGACACUGACGCUCAUGCACGAAAGCGUGGGGAGCAAACAGG
rnacentral:rRNA from 1 species